GACACUUUGCAAAAACAAGCCUUGCUUAGAACAUUAAUGUUAUUCGGAAGCAGCACCAUUGUUGAGCUAAAGGAUCUGUUGAACAACUUUUCUUGCCUAAGAGUACUACAUCUAGUAGAUGUAGAUCUAGUUGAGCUGCCAGACUCCAUAUGCCACCUCAAACAUUUAAGAGACUUAAGUAUUUAUAACGCAAGCAUAUCCACAAUUCCUCAAGGCAUAGGAGAUCUAAAAUUUCUACAAUCUAUUGACCUUGAUGGGUGUGCAAAUAUUCAUCAACUUCCUAACAGCAUCCUAAAGCUGCGGAAGCUAAGGUCACUCAACUUGAGCGACACGGCAAUCACUUCAAUUCCUCGUGGCUUGGGAAAACUAGAAGAUUUGGUCCACAUAAGCGGGUUUCCAACACAUUAUUCAGAUGAGAGCACAUGUGGCUGGUGCAGCUUAGAAGAACUCAGACCUCUGUCGAAGCUCCAAAGCCUUGAAAUAAGUUGUCUGGAGAAAGCACCUUCCGGUUCUAUGGCUGCUAAAGCAAACCUUAGCAGUAAACAUCACCUGACACGGUUACAUUUGGUAUUUACCAGCAGGCUAGGAGACAACGGGAAGGUCAAAGGCAACAUUAGCGAGGAGGAACACAGGAGAACAGAGGAGGUGCUGGAUAAUCUGUGUCCUCCAACUUGCAUGGAAGAACUUGAUAUCAAAGGCUACUUUGCACGUGGGCUACCGCAGUGGAUGAGAACCAUGUCAGCCUUUGGGAGCUUAAGGCGGUUGCAGCUAGAUGACGACGCAUGCUGCACGCAUCUACCUAAUGGAUUGGGGCAGCUCCCCUUUCUUGAUUAUUUUUGGUUCAAUCGUGCUCCGUCUGUCCGGUGCGUUGGGCACGAUUUCCUCUUCCCCUCCUUGGGUGGUCAAGCUGAUGGCAAAGUAACACGGAACAAUAACAGGCAGCCUCAUCAUACUUUGCGAGGUGCUGGUGUUGCUUUUCCCAAGUUGAGAAAAGUGGGUUUUGUAGGCAUGCUGGGAUGGACGAAUUGGGAGUGGGAGCAGCACGUCCCAGCGAUGCCUGCACUAGAGGAGCUUACAAUCAUAAACUGCAAACUGCAACACCUUCCUGCAGGGCUUGCACAACAUGCAUGCCGGUUGAGAGAGUUGCGCCUGACACAUGUCCAGCACUUGGUCUCUGUUGAGAACUUCCCUUCACUAGUCAAGCUUUGGUCAUAUGACAACCCAAGGCUGGAGAGGAUCAGCAACAACCCGAGCUUGCAAUGGAUUGACAUUAGAAAUUGCCCAGCACUAGAACAAUUGGACGGUUUGCCAUCCCUCCGAAGCCUCGAGUGGAGGGAUUUGAGUGCUGAAGCACUCCCAGAAUACUUGCGAGAGGCAAAGCUAAAGAAAUUGCGUGUAGAUUGCAGCCGAAGAUUGCUCAAACUGAUAGCACUACAAGAUGAAUCCUCCGAAUGGGGAAAGAUCCAGCAUGUCCAGCAACUAGAGGCGUAUGGACACAAGAUAGAAGGAGAAGCGGAGGAAGCCGACCAAUCGCACGAAGAUGAGGAUGCCGAGUGGUACAUCUACUGUACCAAGGAGCCGUAUUCAUUCGACGCGUACCUGGGCAAGUCCACGGGUGAGUUCAUCUUCGACCUACUCGGUGGUUUUAUAACUGUAUGUGUGUGUACACUCAUGUAAAAAUGGAUUUCUAACUGUAUAUUCUCCUGCGCACAGGAUGAAGAUGAAGCAGAAGUAGACGAGGUGAACGAAGAGCAGAGUCCAGGAAUAGAAUAUAGUAAGAAUGCAAGGAACAGAGGAAGCUCUCAGGCUGUUACGACAGGACGAGCAUUCGAAUCCAUCCACCAAAUACUAGGUAUGAAUUGCCCAAAUACUGAUGGUCUUGUAGUUGUACACGCCAAAUUGGCUGUGACUAUUCUAACUGGAAAGCAUUGUCGUGUUAACGCAGGAGAAAGAAACCCAAGAAGGAGAAGAACACAUCGCAAUUGGGUGGUGGCAAUGUGGCAUACUGUCCCUCAAAUUCGUAAGUUGUAUAUGUUUGUGUGCGAAAAAUAUAAUACAGCAGUAAGGCGCGAGCGUCUCUCUAACCAGUUGUUGUGACGCUCAGGAAUGGAGCGCCAGCACGGGCGGCCUUGGACUCGUUGGAGCGAAUACGCGUCGGGGACGAGCGAUGGGCUGAGAGGUGAAGCACUGAACGUGCGCGCGAAGGGCAGCAGGGAAGGGAUUUGCACAUUUAGCUCCCAGGAUUUGCACUUCUUGUUGGCGUAUUUGUAGGCAGGUCUGCACUCCAUCUCUUCUUUUCGGUUGGUCUCUGCUAGCUCGUCAGACUUUCUACAGUGUUUUUGAAUGUUCGAUAGCAAAUGAGUGUAGGAAUUUGCAGACGUGCUCUAUGAUGCCGAGAUAACAAUUGCAUCCCCCCCUCAUGGAUCCUCUGGAAAGCUGAAGCUACUCUGCAAGACUGCAACGAUUGCAGCAACACGGACGUGCCUACUAAAAACAUGGUGCAAUAAAACUGCGAAAUGCUAAACAAGGUCAAGCCGGCAGCCAGGUAAACAACAUUCCAGGCAGCAGGUAUAUUCUGAGCCGUGUGAGAAUUAUCUGUCUGCAAUAGCUUUUUCAUGGGUAGCUAUCACUCGCAUGUGGAUCGUGUCUCUGGCUGAUCCGUUCAGCGUGGACCGGAGCCAACAACGGGGAUAAGAAGUCCCAACUAGUAGUAGUUGGCUGCCAAUGCGGUGGCCAAAAUUUGACCAAGCCAAGGCUAGUAAACAGCAAAUUUGGUACUGUAGGCGCGCUAUUAUAUAGCGGAAGCAACCAAAGUUAUAUAAAUAUUAAUUAUGGAUAAUACAAAGUUAUAUAAAUAUUAAUUAUGGAUAAUAAAGAGGGAGAACUAAUCAGGACGCUGACGAUGCUUCUAGUUGAUCCAUCAUGCUCCAAAAUCUUUCUGCAAGUCAGGAGCUGCAGGAUAUAAGUGCAGAACUGCCUGCCGAUUUCAAAAAAUUAAAAAAAAUUAAAGAAAAAAGAACUGACUGCCGAUGGCCACUCAAGGUAGUAAAAACUAUAGGAAUGCUAUUAGUAGUUCCAGUGUUCCACUGGUAGCUGCCAUUUGCGCUUUGCUGAUCCGUUAGGUGCGGAGCCAGCGACGAAGAGAAGAGUUGAAGCGUCUCUCUGGGGGUUAGUUGAGGCGUCUCUCUUUUGCACCUCAUCAAUAGAGACAAAUAAUUUGAGUUGCAUAUUUUUUGACUACUGACUGGACACCCAAUCGAGGUCCACAAAAAUAUGGAGUAGCGUACUCUUCUGGCACUCCUAUGCGUUGAACUUCUUCGCCUCGCCAUCUCAUCUGCCCAUCCGUGAUUUUCCAUCGACCGGCCAGGCCUUCCUUCUGUAUAAAGCGUCUCCUAAAUCACCGCAGAGUGUACACCCCCACAUAUCUGAAACCUAGUCAUCUUCCUUUUGCUCUCUGCUUUGCUACCCUGUUCCCCGACCAUGGCAGAGCUGCUGGACGAGUUCGCGUCCAAGCUUGUGGGCAUCCUGGCAGGCAUGGUGAAGGAGGAGGUGGAGAUGCUCCUCGGCGUGCCGGGUGAGGUCACCAAGCUCGAGACCACGCUCCGUGACCUGAGCGACAUCUUGGGUGAUGCGGAGAGGAAGCGCAUCCGUGACAAGGCUACGGAGGGUUGGGUGAGGGAGCUCAAGGACGUCAUGUACGACGCCGAUGACGUCCUUGACCUCUGCCAGCUCAUGGAGGGCGGAGAAGAUCCUCCCGCACCAACAUCUGCUCCAAAAACCACCUCAAGGUGCUGGGACAUCCCCAAGAUGUUCUUUUGCUUCCGCAACCCUGUUGUGGCACAUGAGAUUGGAACGAAGAUCCAAGCGAUCAACCAGCGACUGGAAGACCUGGCAACGAGGAGCUCCCGUUUCGGAUUCAUCACCCAAGCCAUCCAUUCCUCAGCUGAUUCAAUCAACAAAGCUUCCAAUUCUUUGUCGACCGACGAGACUGGAUCGGUUUUUAUCCGGUCUGAUGUUGUCGGCGAGAAGGUUGAGGAUGACACGAAGAAAAUUGUAGAUCUACUCAUCAAGAAGAUGGAUGCUCCCGUAGGAUCAAGGGCCAAUAAUGAUGUGGUUGUUGCUGUUGCUAUCACAGGCACAGGUGGGAUAGGCAAAACCACUCUUGCUCAGAUGGUCUUCGGUGAUAGUAGGGUGGAGGAAAAAUUCGAGGAAAGGAUCUGGUUGAGCGUUAACCGUGAGUUCAAUGAGAUCAACGUCCUACAAAGUCUUAUAACUUCUUUUGGUGCCAAACAUGAAGGCUGUGCGGGAAACAAGGACCUACUUCAGCGUGCCCUGAAGGAUACGAUCCGGCAAAAGAAGAAGUUUUUGUUGGUGAUGGAUGAUGUGUGGAGGGAAAAUGUGUGGUAUAAGCUGCUUAGAGAGCCGCUCAAUCAUGGUGCUUCUGGCAGUCGAGUCUUGGUGACCACAAGAAAUGAUGGAGUUGCUCAUGGGAUGAAAGCUCAACAUCUCCAUCCAGUUCACAAGCUAACAACGGAAGAUGCUUGGAUUUUGCUAAAGAACCAGGUCAGUAAUAACUUUUAUUUAUUACAGUAAUUAUUUAUGCAGUAAUUUGAAUUUACUGUAACAACUUUUAUCUCUUCUUAAUUACUUUCUCUCCCUUGGAGGAAUGCACGAUAGCCCACUGCUCGUUAUUUCUCUUGUCGCUCUUGUCCGAUCUGAUUACGCAAAGGACCAUGUAAUUUCACUACGAGCCUUUUAUCAUACUUUCAUAAGCUCUUGGCUUAGCAAAACUUGUCUCAUGGUUAUAUUUAGUUGAACAUAUCCUAUUGACGUUGAGGGAAGUUUUGUUUAGUGCAAGGAAUCGGAUACCGUAGCCUAAGAGGGGGAGAGGGUGAAUUAGGUAACUUAAAACCUUAAUCUAUAGCUUCCGCUACUUUUGCAUCAAAUUUAAUUAGAUCAUGUAUCAAGAUGUGUAACUAUGGUUGAUCUAGUGUGAAAUCCUCAUCCUAAAAUUAGUUUUGCAACCUAGAGGCAAUCCUAACAAGAUACUACACUAAGAAUGUAAAGGCACACAAGUUGCAAGUAUGAAAUGUGGAAAUGAAAAGGAGGGGAUGAGGGGAAGCAAACUCUUGACACGAUGAUUUAUCCCGUUGUAUCGGUAGGCACUAAACCACCGCUAGUCGACAUUGUUGAAGCACUCACACAAGAGUAUUGCUUUCCGGUCACCAAGUCUCUCUCGGGAUACUCCUUGCUUUGCCACGAAGGCUUGGCCGCUAAGGCUCACGUCAAAUUCUCAGGUCACCUUGAUACCAUCUCCACAAAGGAGCUUCUCCACGAAGGAAGGGGGUCUCCACGUUCCCUGCAUAUUGUCGUCGACGCCGAUCCAUGCCAAACCGGAGGGUCGAAGACUUACCGGCGAACUACCAAGGCUCCAAGAUAGCACACCUUGUACAGCUGUGGUUCACUCCUAGAACCGAUCACAAGGCAGGCACACCUUGCACUCUCUCUUCUCUAGGCCUAUCCUAGCACUAAAUAUUCUUAUAAGCUUGUGCUAAGCCUUUGAUUAAUCACUUAUGCACUUUUGGUGGCUUGGAUGUGUUCUUGAUGAGUCUUGAUCUCCAAUGGACUUCUGCAUACUCCAGCUUCAUCCAGCAACUCCAAUGGGUGAGUGGAGGGGGUAUAAAUAGCCCAAGAACUCAAAGAGCCGUUGCUCCAACGGCUAGUUAAAGUAUACCAUCGGAUGUUCCGAUGGUAUCAUUCGGGGUAGCAUUCGAACAUCUGGUUCUACCAGCCCUUGCCUCCCCGCGCUUAGAUUCUACUCAAGUUCCUCACCGACGCAAUCCAUCGAUUGAUCAAGUGGUCCCUCUAGCACCCAUCGGAUCAUCCGGUGCAGUAGCUUCCUAUGCCAAAACGUCUCUGUUAGUUUCUAAAAUAAAUAUGCUUCAUCCGAUGCCCCCACGACACAUAGCGUCGGAUCAUCCGGUGCCUCCUUCUUUCUUCUCUUUGCUCCGGCGAUUCAUCCGAUGGAUACAAAACUUAGGCCAUCGAAUCAUCCGAUGGUCCUACUUUGACUUGGUCUCCACAUGGCGUACCAAAAGCUCCGAUGCUUGCACCGAUGCUUUUUCAACUGGCCAUCGAAACAUCCGAUGGUCUCAAAAACCUGCUUCACGCUUGGCACCGACUGAUUCGGUGGGCACCUUCUUCUUGUCACCAGAUGAAUCGGUGACUAUAAUGAUUCCUGUUUUUCUUUGAUUCUUUGCUUAUCUUUGGUUGUGGUUGCUUCCUCAGGACCUAUAAUACCUUCAAGAUAUGUUUUCAAUGCUUUGUUAGUCCUGAUGACCGUGUUGUCACAUUAAUCACCAAAAUCACAAACAAAUAGCCUAUUCGGGGCCAUGUUUGCUACAUUUAGGCUAUUCCCAAUGGGGAUUUCAUAAGAGUUUCAUUUAAUGAUGCGACACACCAACAAUUUUGAUGAUAUGGCAUGCUAAUAAUCAUGAAGAGAGAGAGGGAAUGAGUUUAAUCCUGAUUAAACUAUGUAUACAUUGUUUCCAAGACUAUGAAACCUGAUGAAACUAGCAUUGGGGAUUAGAGAGUUUCAUUUCAUCUCAUAACAUCCAAUCACAUACCUCGCAAUUAAACGUUAUGUCCAGCCUAUGAAAUCGCGAAAUGAAACUCUCCAUUGGGAGAUCUUGUGUCAUACAUCCACUCAAACAUCUUUCGAUGACGUACCACUCUUGAAAAUUGUAAUUGAAAUUUCCCACUGGGAAUAGCCAUGGUUGCUCUAGAGUCUAGACUCUAUUUAAGUCACUUCAACUUUUUCCCUACACACAACCCCUGCAACAGUUAUGAUACAACAUAAAAUCCAUUGGGAGCUUUUCGAUUCUAGCACCAUUUCCUCUCUCAAACUUGCUGCAUUUUUUUUCCAAUACUAGGUAGUUUCGAAUGAGAGUGAUGAAGCCGAUGUCGAUGAAUUGAAGAGUAUCGGGAUGGAAAUUGUUGAAAGAUGUGACUGCUUGCCGUUAGCAGUUAAGGUCCUUGGAGGACUCUUGCGUCACAAAAGGAGAACAAGGGAUGCCUGGACGGAUGUUAGUAGCCACGAUAUUUGGUCGACAAUAGGAAGCGAUGAAGAUAUUAAUAAAGCGGUCUAUUUGAGUUAUGAAGAUUUGCCUUCACACUUGAAGCAAUGUUUUGUGUAUUGUUCGCUAAUCCCUAAAGAUCACUUGAUAUCGAGUGGAGUAAUAGUCAAGCUUUGGAUUGCAGCAGGUCAUGUACACAACAAGAUGAGCUGUAAGGUACCAGAAAAGUUGGGGAAAGAAUACUACAACGAAUUGGUUUCAAGAAAUCUUCUAGAACCAGACAAAAGUUACUAUAGUACAGUAGUAUGCAGGAUGCACGAUGUUGUCCGUUCCUUCGCUCAGUAUAUAAUUAAAGAUGAAGGGAUACUUAUUAGUGAUGGGCAGGAUGUUAAUAGAACUCUUAGCACUGCAAAGCUUCGGCACCUAUCUAUCUCAAACACGACAGUAGGGCAUGACACUUUGCAAAAACAAGCCUUGCUUAGAACAUUAAUUUUAUUCGGAAGCAGUACCACUGUUGAGCUAAAGGAUCUGUUGAACAACCUUUCUUGCCUGAGAGUACUACAUCUAGUAAAGGUAGAUUUAGUCGAGCUGCCAGACUCCAUAUGCCACCUCAAACAUUUAAGAUACUUGUGUAUUUGUAACGCAAGCAUAUCCAGAAUUCCUCAAGGCAUAGGAGAUCUAAAAUUUCUACAAUCUAUUGACCUUGAUGGGUGUGCAAAUAUUCAUCAACUUCCUAACAGCAUCCUAAAGCUGCGGAAGCUAAGGUCACUCAACUUGAGCGACACGGCAAUCACUUCAAUUCCUCGUGGCUUGGGAAAACUAGAAGAUUUGGUCACCAUAAGGGGGUUUCCAACACAUUAUUCAGAUGAGAGCACAGGUGGCUGGUGCAGCAUAGAAGAACUCAGACCUCUGUCGAAGCUCCAAAGCCUUGAAAUAAUAUGUCUGGAGAAGGCACCUUCCGGUUCUAUGGCUGCUAAAGCAAACCUUAGCAGUAAACAUCACCUGACAUGGCUAGAUUUGGUAUUUACCAGCAGGCUAGGAGACAACGGGGUGGUCGAAGGCAACAUUAGCGAGGAGGAACACAGGAGAACAGAGGAGGUGCUGGAUAAUCUGUGUCCUCCAACUUGCAUGGAAGAACUUGAUAUAAAAGGCUACUUUGCACGUGGGCUACCGCAGUGGAUGAGAACCAUGUCAGCCUUUGGGAGCUUAAGGCGGUUGGUGCUACAUGACUACGCAUGCUGCCCGCAUCUACCUAAUGGAUUGGGGCAGCUCCCCUUUCUUGAUUAUUUUUGGGUCAAACGUGCUCCGUCUGUCCGGUGCGUUGGGCACGAUUUCCUCUUCCCCUCCUUGGGUGGUCAAGCUGAUGGCAAAGUAACACGGAACAAUAACAGGCAGCCUCAUCAUACUUCGCGUGGUGCUGGUGUUGCUUUUCCCAAGCUGUCAGAAGUGGGUUUUGUAGGCAUGCUGGGAUGGACGAAUUGGGAGUGGGAGCAGCACGUCCCAGCGAUGCCUACACUAGAGGAGCUUACAAUCAGAAACUGCAAACUGCAACACCUUCCUGCAGGGCUUGCAUACCAUGCAUGCCGGUUGAGAGAGUUGGACCUGAGAAAUAUCCAGCUCUUGGUCUGUGUGGAGAACUUCCCUUCACUAGUCAAGCUUUGGUCAUAUGACAACCCAAGGCUGGAGAGGAUCAGCAACAACCCAAGCUUGCAAUGGAUUGACAUUAGCAAUUGCCGAGCACUAGAGGAAUUGGACGGUUUGCCAUCCCUCCUAAGCCUUGAGUGGUGGAAUUUGAGUGCUGAAGCACUCCCAGAAUACUUGCGAGAGGCAAAGCUAAAGAAAUUGCGUGUAGAUUGCAGCCGAAGAUUGCUCAAACUGAUAGCACUACAAGAUGAAUCCUCCGAAUGGGGAAAGAUCCAGCAUGUCCAGCAACUAAAGGUGUAUGGAUGCAAGAUAGAAGGAGAAGCGGAGGAAGCCGACCAAUCGCACGAAGAUGAGGAUGCCGAGUGGUACAUCUACUGUACCAAGGAGCCGUAUUCAUUCGACGCAUACCUGGGCAAGUCCACGGGUGAGUUCAUCUUCGACCUACUCGGUGGUUUUAUAACUGUAUGUGUGUACACUCAUGUAAAAAUGGAUUUCUAACUGUAUAUUCACCUGCGCACAGGAUGAAGAUGAAGCAGAAGUAGACGAGGUGAACGAAGAGCAGAGUCCAGGAAUAGAACAUAGUAAGAAUGCAAGGAACAGAGGAAGCUCUCAGGCUGUUACGACAGGAGGAGCAUUCGAAUCCAUCCACCAAAUACUAGGUAUGAAUUGCCCAAAUACUAAUGGUCUUGUAGUUGUACACGCCAAAUUGGCUGUGACUAUUCUAACUGGAAAGCAUUGUCGUGUUAACGCAGGAGAAGAACACAUCGCAAUUGGCAUACUGUCCCUCAAAUUCGUAAGUUGUAUAUGUUUGUGUGCGAAAAAUAUAAUACAUCAGUAAGGCGCGAGCGUCUCUCUAACCAGUUGUUGUGACGCUCAGGAAGGGAGCGCCAGCACGGGCGGCCUUGGACUCGUUGGAGCGAAUACGCGUCGGGGACGAGCGAUGGGCUGAGAGCUGAAGCACUGAACGUGCGCGCGAAGGGCAGCAGGGAAGGGAUUUGCACAUUUAGCUCCCAGGAUUUGCACUUCUUGUUGGCGUAUUUGUAGGCAGGUCUGCACUCCAUCUCUUCUUUUUGGUUGGUCUGUGCUAGCUCGUCAGACUUUCUACAGUGUUUUUGAAUGUUCGAUAACAAAUGAGUGUAGGAAUUUGCAGACGUGCUCUAUGAUGCCGAGAUAACAAUUGCAUCCCCCCCUCAUGGAUCCUCUGGAAAGCUGAAGCUACUCUGCAAGACUGCAACGAUUGCAGCAACACGGACGUGCCUACUAAAAACAUGGUGCAAUAAAACUGCGAAAUGCUAAACAAGGUCAAGCCGGCAGCCAGGUGAGCAACAUUCCAGGCAGCAGGCAUAUUCUGAGCCGUUCAGCGUGGACCGGAGCCAACAACGGGGAUAAGAAGUCCCAACUAGUAGUAGUUGGCAGCCAAUGCGGUGGCCAAAAUUUGACCAAGCCAAGGCUAGUAAACAGCAAAUUUUGUAGCAAACCAAAAUUAAAAUGCGACGUAACCAAAGCGCUGGCGUAACCAUGUCGACAUUAGACCUGAUUUGUUAAUACGUGCUGAGAUGGCGAGGCAUAUCUUGUAACCAGCGACGAAGAGAAGAGUUCAAGCUGCAUUGGAUACAUGUGCUCCUGCCUCCUGGGGGUUAGUUGAGGCGUCUCUCUUUUGCACCUCAUCAAUAGAGACAAAUAAUUUGAGUUGCAUAUUUUUUGACUACUGACUGGACACCCAAUCGAGGUCCACAAAAAUAUGGAGUAGCGUACUCUUCUGGCCCUCCUAUGCGUUGAACUUCUUCGCCUCACCAUCUCAUCUGCCCAUCCGUGAUUUUCCAUCGACCGGCCAGGCCUUCCUUCUGUAUAAAGCGUCUCCUAAAUCACCGCAGAGUGUACACCCACACAUAUCUGAAAUCUAGUCAUCUUCCUUAGUCAUCUUCCUUUUGCUCUCUGCUUUGCUACCCUGUUCCCCGACCAUGGCAGAGCUGCUGGACGAGUUCGCGUCCAAGCUUGUGGGCAUCCUGGCAGGCAUGGUGAAGGAGGAGGUGGAGAUGCUCCUCGGCGUGCCGGGUGAGGUCACCAAGCUCGAGACCACGCUCCGCGACCUGAGCCACAUCUUGGGUGAUGCGGAGAGGAAGCGCAUCCGUGACAAGGCUACGGAGGGUUGGGUGAGGGAGCUCAAGGACGUCAUGUACGACGCCGAUGACGUCCUUGACCUCUGCCAGCUCAUGGAAGGCGGAGAAGAUCCUCCCGCACCAACAUCUGCUCCGAAAACCACCUCAAGGUGCUGGGACAUCCCCAAGAUGUUUUUUUGCUUCCGCAACCCUGUUGCGGCACAUGAGAUUGGAACGAAGAUCCAAGCGAUCAACCAGCGACUGGAAGACCUGGCAAAGAGGAGCUCCCGUUUCGGAUUCAUCACCCAAGCCAUCCAUUCCUCAGCUGAUUCAAUCAACGAAGCUUGGAAUUCUUUGUCCGACGAGACUGGAUCGGUUUUUAUCCGGUCUGAUGUUGUCGGCGAGAAGAUUGAGGAUGACACGAAGAAAAUUGUUGAUCUACUCAUCAAGAAGGUGGAUGCUCCUGUAGGAUCAAGGGCCAAUAGUGAUGUGGUUGUUGCUGUUGCUAUCACAGGCACAGGUGGGAUAGGCAAAACCACUCUUGCUAAGAUGGUCUUCGGUGAUAGUAGGGUGGAGGAAAACUUCAAGGAAAGGAUCUGGUUGAGCGUUAACCGUGAGUUCAAUGAGAUCAAUGUCCUACAAAGUCUUAUAGCUUCUUUUGGUGCCAAACAUGAAGGCUGUGCGGGAAACAAGGACCUACUUCAGCGUGCCCUGAAGGAUACAAUCCGGCAAAAGAAGAAGUUUUUGUUGGUGAUGGAUGAUGUGUGGAGCGAAAAUGUGUGGUAUAAGCUGCUUAGAGAGCCGCUCAAUCAUGGUGCUUCUGGCAGUCGAGUCUUGGUGACCACAAGAAAUGAUGGAGUUGCUCAUGGGAUGAAAGCUCAACAUCUCCAUCGAGUUGACAAGCUAACAACGGAAGAUGCUUGGAUUUUGCUAAAGAACCAGGUCAGUAAUAACUUUUAUUUAUUACAGUAAUUAUUUAUGCAGUAAUUUGAAUUUACAGUAACAACUUUUAUCUCUUCUUAAUUACUUUCUCUCCCUUGGAGUAAUGCACGAUAGCCCAUUGCUCAAUAUUUCUCUUGUCGCUCUUUUCCGAUCUGAUUACGCAAAGGACCAUGUAAUUUCACUACGAGCCUUUUAUCAUACUUUCAAAGCUCUUCGCUUAGCAAAACAUGUCUCAUGGUUAUAUUUAGUUGAACAUAUCCUAUUGACGUUGAGGGAUGUUUUGUUUAGGGCAACGAAUCGGGUAUCGUAGCCUAAGAGGGGGAGGGGGUGAUUUAGGCAACUUAAAAUCUUAACCUAUGGCUUCUGCUACUUUUGCAUCAAACAUAAACAAGAUCAUGCUGUCAAGAUGUGCAAUUAUGGUUGAUCUAGUGUGAACUCUUCAUCCUAAAAUAAGUUUUGCAACCUAGAGGCAUCCUAGCAAGAUACUACACUAAGAAAGUAAAGGCACACAAGUUGUAAGUAUGAAAUGCGGAAAUGUAAAGGAGGGGAUGAGGGGAAGCAAACUCUUGACACAAGAGUAUUGCUUUCCGGUCACCAAGUCUCUCCCUGGACACUCCUUGAUUUGCCACAAAGGCUCGGCUACUAAGGCUCACGCCAAAUUCACAGGCUACCUUGAUACCAUCUCCACAAAGGAGCUUCUCCACGAAAGAAGGGGGUCUCCACGUUCCCUGCACAUUGUCGUCGACGCCGCUCCACACCAAGCCGGAGGGUCAAAGACUUACCGGCGAACCACCAAGGCUCCAAGGUUUCAGCACACCUUGUACAGCUGUGGUUCACUCCUAGAAUCGAUCACAAGGCAAGCACACCUUGCAUUCUCUCUUCUCUAGGCCUAUCCUAGCACUAAACAUUCUUCUAAGCUUGCGCUAAACCUUUGAUUAAUCACUUAUGCACUUUUGGUGGUUUGGAUGUGUUCUUGACGAGUCUUGAUCUCCAAUGGAAUUCUGCACACUCCAGCUUCAUCCAACAACUCCAAAUGGGUGAGUGGCGGGGGGUAUAAAUAGCCCAAGAACUCAAAGAGCCGUUGCUCCAACGGCUAGUUAAAGUAUACCAUCGGAUGUUCCGAUGGUAUCAUUUGGGGUAGCAUCGGAACAUCCGGUUCUACCAGCCAUUGCCUCCCCGCGCUCAGAUUCUGCUCAAGUUCCUCACUGACGUAAUCCAUCGAUUGAUCCAGUGGUCCCUCUAGCACCCAUCGGAUCAUCCGGUGCAGUAGCUUCCUAUGCCAAAACGUCUUUGUUAGUUUCUAAAAUAAAUAUGCUUCGUCCGAUGCCCCUGCGACACAUAGCGUCGGAUCAUCCAGUGCCUCCUUCUUUCUUCUCUUUGCUCCGGCGAUUCAUCCGAUGGGUACAAAACUUAGGCCAUCGGAUCAUCUGAUGGUCCUGCUUUGACUUGGUCUCCACAUGGCGAACCAAAAGCUCUGAUGCUUGCACCGACACUUUUUCAACUGGCCAUCAAAGCAUCCGAUGGUCUCAAAAAUCUUCUUCACGCUUGUCACCAACUGAUUCGGUGGGCACCUUCUUCUUGUCACCGGAUGAAUCAGUGGCUAUAACAAUUCUUGUUUUUCUUUGAUUUCUUUGAUUCUUUGCUUGUCUUUGGUUGUGGUUGCUUCCUUAGGACCUAUAAUACCUUCAAGAUAUGUUCUCAAUGCUUUGUUAGUCCUAAUGACCAUGUUGUCACAUUAAUCACCGAAAUCACAAACAAAUGGCCUAUUCGGAGCCAUGUUUGCUACAUUUAGGCUAUCCCCAAUGAGGAUUUCAUAAGAGUUUCUUUUAAUGAUGUGACACAUCAACAAUUUUGAUGAUAUGACAUGCUAAUAAUCAUGAAGAGAGAGAGGGAAGGAGUUUCAUCCUGAUUAAACUGUGUAUACAUUGUUUCCAAGACUAUGAAACCUGAUGAAACUAGCAUUAGGGAUUAGAUAGUUUUAUUUCAUCUCAUAACAUCCAAUCACAUACCUCGCAAUUAAACGUUAUGUCCAGCCUAUAAAAUCGUGAAAUGAAACUCUCCAUUGGGAGAUCUUGUGUCAUACAUCCACUCAAACAUCUUUUGAUGACAUACCACUCCUGAAAACCGUAAUAUGAAAUUCCCCACUGGGAAUAGCUAUGGUUGCUCUAGAGUCUAGACUCUAUUGAAGUCACUUCAACUUUUUCCCAACACACAACCCCUGCACAAGUUAUGAUACAACAUAAAAUCCAUUGGGAGCUUUUCGAUUCUAACACCAUUUCCUCUCUCAAACUUGCUGCAUUUUUUCCAAUACUAGGUAGUUUUGAAUGAGAGUGAUGAUGUCGAUGAAUUGAAGAGUAUCGGGAUGGAAAUUGUUAAAAGAUGUGACUGCUUGCCAUUAGCAGUUAAGGUCCUUGGAGGACUCUUGCGCCGCAAAAGUAGAACAAGAGAUGCCUGGACGGAUGUUAGUAGCCACGGCACUUGGUCGACAAUAGGAAUCCAUGAAGAUAUUAAUAAAGCGGUCUAUUUGAGUUAUGAAGACUUGCCUUCACACUUGAAGCAAUGUUUUGUGUAUUGUUCGCUAAUCCCUCAAGAUUACUUGAUUUCAAGUCGAGUAAUAGUCCAGAUUUGGAUUGCAGCAGGUCAUGUACACAACAAGAUGAGCUGUAAGGCACCAGAAACGUUGGGGGAAGAAUACUACAAAGAAUUGGUUUCAAGAAAUCUUCUAGAACCAGAGAAAGGUUACUAUAGAAUAUCAGCAUGGAACAUGCACGACGUUGUCCGUUCCUUCGCUCAGUAUAUAAUUAAAGAUGAAGGGAUACUUAUUAGUGAUGGGCAGGAUGUCAAUAGAACUCUUAGCACUGCAAAGCUUCGGCACCUAUCUAUCUCAAACAAGGCAGUAAGGCAUGACACUUUGCAAACACAAGCCUUGCUUAGAACAUUAAUGUUAUUCGAAGGCAGCACCACUGUUGAGCUAAAGGAUAUGUUGAACAACCUUUCUUGCCUAAGAGUACUACAUCUGAUAGAUGUAGAUCUAGUUGAGCUGCCAGACUCCAUAUGCCACCUCAAACAUUUAAGAUCCUUGUAUCUUUCUGGCACAAGCAUAUCCACAAUUCCUCAAGGCAUAGGAGAUCUAAAAUUUCUACAAUCUAUUGACCUUGAUGGGUGUGCAAAUAUUCAUCAACUUCCUAACAGCAUCCUAAAGCUGCGGAAGCUAAGGUCACUCACCUUGAGCGACACGGCAAUCACUUCAGUUCCUCGUGGCUUGGGAAAACUAGAAGAUUUGGUCGACAUAAGGGGGUUUCCAACACAU
rnacentral:lncRNA from 1 species